rnacentral:rRNA from 1 species
GACAAGUAGUGGUUAUUGGGGGGGUGGGGGAGGGGCGUACGGGAGGCAGCAGUCGAGAAUCAUUCACAAGGGGCGAAAGCAUGAUGGUGGGACGCUGCGUGGAGGAUGAAGGCAUUCGGGUUGUAAACUCCUGUCAUCAGGGAGUAGGUCAGU